AGCCUGAUGGCUCCACAUCUCAGGAGUAGGCUCUGAUUCCUUGGGGCCCCAGGAGCCUCUCAGGAGUCUACAUCCCAAGAUGUUCUAACUUCCAGAGUCUCCAAGCCCAUCAAGAGCAAGUUUUGCUAAAAGUGUUCUGAGAGCUUAUGAAGCACAUGGACAAGGAAGGGUUGUGCAUCCGGCUUUCCACCUUAAACUGGUUUCUAUGGUGCUUCAUCGAUGAGAUAAGGAUGCAUAGGAGACCCCAGGCCAGGAGUUCCUUCAGGACACACUGUCCUAGGCCUGGGCCCUGGAGGAGGACAUGGUGAUGAGGCACCCUGAGGCCUCCAUGGGGGAACUGAGAAGCAUGCACUGUGACCUGCACACCCAGCCAAACCUGAGCAAGCACCCCCACCACCCAGGCCUCUGCAGAUAUCCCCCAGCAUUGAGACCCUCCCCAAGGGGAUGG
rnacentral:lncRNA from 1 species